UACGAAGGGGGCUAGCAUUGUUCGGAAUUACUGGGCGUAAAGCGCGCGCAGGCGGUUCUCCAAGUCAGUGGUGAAAGCCCGGAGCUCAACUCCGGAACUGCCAUUGAAACUGUUGAACUUGAGGACGAGAGAGGUGAGUGGAAUUCCCAGUGUAGAGGUGAAAUUCGUAGAUAUUGGGAAGAACACCGGUGGCGAAGGCGGCUCACUGGCUCGUAUCUGACGCUCAGGCGCGAUAGCGUGGGGAUCAAACAGG
rnacentral:rRNA from 1 species